GUGUUCUGAAAGGCAGUCAGGCUGUGUUUGAGAUGAGCACAGCACACUGCAGCAGAUUGCAGACUUUGAAAGGAGAUGAGCUCUGUGCAUGUCAGAGAAGAUGCAUCACCACGCCCUCAUCAGAGACUUGGGCCCUGAAAGUGCACAUCCAAAAGCAGACUGAUAACAUUACAGACUGAGUAGCUGCUAGACCUCAGGGAUGGUCUGUCAUGCAGUCGUGCUAUAAAGACACACCUGUGCACGUUAUACUUGCAGGUACUGAUCCACACAGUAUUACAAGCUGUGUUCAUGCGCAGUCCCUUGUGACCAGUAAGUGCUCCACAAGAAGCAUUCGGACACAAAAGAAAGAUAUCUCCAUUAAAAGAUUCUUAUCUCCCAACCAACGUUCCUGAAAUCAUUGAACCAUGGGGAAAAAUAAGCUAUCAAAUCACAGAGAGGAAGCUUGUGAUGGAAGUGUUCUCUUGUAACGAAUUUGCUAUUGGAGCUAUGUUUUGAAAAUUCCGAUCUGUACAAGCACAUCAAUCUGUCACUGAUGCAUUACUGUUCUAAAGAACACUCCUGCAACCAAGGAAAUGGAAGCAUUCAUAGUUCCCAAAUUAAGAACAGAUCCCACACCCUGUGGUUUGACCUGUAUCAAUCCAGAGGCCAAACUUGCAGAUGAUAUAAAAAGUCAUUGCUCUACUGCAGUAAAUGGAAGUUCUGGGAACUACAGUAAUUUACAGGUCUGGUCUGUUGGUGAUUGAUAAUAUUGUUACUGACUUGAUUCUCUUCUGCUUCCAAAGUCACCUACAUCUUCCCAAAGGCAGCAGAAAGGGAACAUGAAGUGCUAGUGCAUGCCUUCAUGCUUCUACCAGCAGCCUAUGCAGUCCAGCACAUCGUCUCUGAAAACAGUCAAUAACUGAUACUUAGAAGAAUGGAAAUGCAGAACGAUGACCAUGUAUAUCCCCCUCAUUUCAGAAGGCAGAGAAUUCCCAAGGUAGACGCUAUACACACCAACAGUGCCUUUAUGUAACUAAUCCACUAAUACCUCUAGAUAUCAAAACAUCCUGUUGUAAAAAAUAGCACCAUUGCUGUGUGAGUCACUAUCGCUACUUUUAGAUCUACGUGUCGAUUCAUUCCAGAGGAUGCCCUGUAGUUCUCUUACAGUUAAAAACUGCGAAUAAUUGCUGCCAACUCUUCUUCUCACCUCUUCUUAGUUUGACCCCUGUCAUCCCUUCUCAAACAUAUUUUAGAACUGAUCGAGUGUCACCCUUAUUUUGUAUUACUGGCAAACAAC
ensembl:lncRNA